AGGAUGUGGUUCAAUUCGGUGCUACGCGAAGAACCUUACCUGGGCUUGACAUGCAGGUGGUAGUGACCCGAAAGGGAAGCGACCGGGGUUUAUCCCUGGAGCCUGCACAGGUGCUGCAUGGCUGUCGUCAGCUCGUGCCGUGAGGUGUAUGGUUAAGUCCCGCAACGAGCGCAACCCCUGCCCCUAGUUGCUAACCCGCGAGGGUGCACUCUAGGGGGACUGCCUCCGUCAAGGAGGAGGAGGGUGGGAUGAUGUCAAGUCAUCAUGGUCCUUAUGCCCAGGGCUACACACGUCCUACAGUGGCCGUUACAAUGGGAAGCUACAUCGCGAGGUGAUGCCAAUCCUGUAAAAGCGGCCAUGGUUCGGAUUGCAGGCUGCAACUCGCCUGCAUGAAGAUGGAAUCGCUAGUAAUCACUGAUCAGCGUGCAGUGGUGAAUACGUUCCCGGGUCUU
rnacentral:rRNA from 1 species